GGAACCAGAGGUAGCUGGCAGGAUCACUCGUUCCAGAGCUAGAGAGAUGGCUAAGGAGGCUCACGCACUCAUUGCCACAGAGGACAGCGAUCACCAGGAGGCUGGAGCUCACAUCUUCAACAUCUCUAUCUUGAAGAAUGAGGAACCCAGUAACAAUGACUAGGUAACUUAGGUGAUGAUUCUGUACUCUUUUCCUUGGUGAAGAUUUUGGAAGGCAAGGAGGUUCUUCUCCAAGGUUUUUAACGAGGCAGAAAUCAUUGCUACGUCGAGUUACUUAGAAGUUGUUACUAAUGGGUAAUAAUGUGCAAAGUCACAAUGACUUGUGCACUUAGUAUUUUGGCGCACCACUUAGGAUUUUAGGGACGCCUCGCUGUUUUUAUUUUAAAUCAAACUUCCUGUUGUUUUUAUUUAAACUUCAUGUAGUUUUGUUUCUUUAGGGCUGCGAUUUCUCUAAGUCUAUAUAAUAGAGAAAUCGCCUAAGUCAUUAGGCAGCUUGGAAUUUUAACGUAAAAAGAGAACAGCAUCGUUUUCCUUGAUUCCUUGACUCAAAAGUUCAUUGAAUUCGAUUUUCUUACAAGUGUUUCUUACAAGAAAAUCUUCAACCUAUCAUCUAAUCGAUUCCCCAUCCUCUAUUCUCGCCAUCAUCCCUUAUCCAUCGACCAUACUCUCGCGAAUCCAUCACUACCAGAUCGUUUCGGAUCCGAUCUCUUCACGCCACCAUCUCGCAUCAUCAAUCCGAGCCACUCACUACCAUUGCCACUCAUUGUCUCGCUCACUAGACCACCAUCGCAAAUCCAUCGAGUCAUCACCGCGCCACCACCACCACCUUAUCGCCUCAUCGUUCCAUCUUGGUCAAUAUAUCGCCACCUGUAGCCUUGUUCUUCAGAGUAGAUUCCCUUGGAUCGUAUCACGUGGUAUCAGAGCCAACUCUGAACCAAAGGCUGAGUGAAACUCUAACCCUAAUCUCCGUGCUUUGAAUUUUCGUCUCUGUGAUAUUAGGGUUAGCGAGUUUUGUGACUGUGUGCAUCGAUUUGAUUCCUUUUGUUUCAUAUCAUCGCAUCGUUCCCUCUUGUUUUGUGUUUAGGAUCGAUCGCUGUUAGGAUUCCUGUUAGAUCGUGUUCGUCUCAAGUUUAUUUCGAGUCUGAUUGUUUUUCGAGUCUGCUCAUUCAUUGUUUUCGUUCGGAUCGAUACGAGUCUGCGUGUAGUCGUGUUCUUAGGGUUUGUUAAGAGUCUGCGCGACUUCGUUAGGUUUGUUAGGGUUUCGUGAUCUCGUAACUCGUUUGUUAGUGUGUUAGGGAUUCGUUAGUCUUCGAUUUUUGUUGUUAGGCCUCGUUUUUCAUCGUUUUUUUUUUGUGUAGGCUUGUUAGGAAAUCUUUUUGUGAUUUCUGUUAAGUUUAAAAAAAAAAAAAAAAAUAUUUUCGUUAAAUUUCAUUAGUUUCGUUAAGUUUGUUUUUAGAUUUCGUGGGGAUCUUUUAAUUUUUUUAUGAUGAGUUUAAUUUUGCUGUUUUCGUGAUUUCUUCUCGAACAAGUUACUGCAAGUUUUUUUUUAAUUUUUUUAGGUACCAUGGAGCUUUCGGCUGAGGCGAUGGAAGCUCUGAACCGAGCAAUGUCUCAACAAAUUAAAGAAGCGAAUCAAGCCAUAGCAACUCAGCUCAAUCAACAAAUCGAACAACUCAACGACAAGUUCGAGUCCAAGAUGAAUGAUCUGCUCAAAGAUCUCAGUGCAAGUGGAGAAGAGUCGUCUCAAACUCCAACUCCAUCGGAAGCAAUGCGCUUAGCUAAGGGUAAAGGGCACAUAGGGUCUUCCCGGAAACUUCCACGCCACCCACCUUCCGAAGCCAGGACUAAAGCUAAGUCCAGUCGAAGCCAGAUUGGGGGCAGAGAGACUACAUUUAAUCCGAGGAGGAAUCCUACUGGUGCAGAUCGAGAUGGCCCAAGAGUAGAUCGUCAGCACCGACAAGAGGAAUAUAUUGCUGGGCAUCGAGUUAUCCUGGAAUCAGACCCAGAAUACUAUGAGGAGGACGAAGCUUCUGAUCAUAGCCGAGAAACUGUGAGACGAGAUCGAGGCCGAGGACAGGGUCGAGAUUAUGAUCCUCUACAUCAGCAGCUGCGUCAUAUCAAAAUCCAGUAUCCUCCUUUCCAUGGAACCAAUGAUCCCGAAGCUUAUCUAGAUUGGGAAAGAAAGAUGGAGUCUAAUUUUCUGGUCCAAGGAACUUAUGAGCUCAACAAGGUGAAGAUUGCAGUUUCGGAAUUUCAUGGGUAUGCGCUUCUAUGGUGGGAGCAGUUGGGAGUCACCAGAAAUCGCUUGAGGGAACUUCCGAUUACUACUUGGGAGCAGCUCGUUAUACAGAUGAGGAAGCGGUUCGUUGCGGCCCAUCAUCAGCGCGAGAUACUCAACAAGCUUAGGCGCCUUGUCCAAGGUACGAAGUCUGUUCGAGAUUAUUAUCAAGAAUUGGAAACUUUGCUCAUUCGUGCAGAUUUACGAGAAGGCGAAGAGAUGGUAAUGUCGAGAUUUCUUGGAGGACUUAACCGAGAAAUUCAAGACAAGGUGGAACUUCAGGAUUUCGCAGAUAUACAAGAGAUGGUGCAUAAGGCUGAAUUGGUGGAAUCUCAAGUCAAGAGGCGAAAUUUCAAGUCCACAUUCACGCCUAGUGUGCCUAAGCCUAAGGAGAUCAGCAAACCAGCUUACUCCAGAGACAUCAAACCGCCCUCUACUGGAGUUAAAGAAGAAGCUAAAUCUGAGUUCAAGCCUCGAGGUGGUACUUCUAUUAGCAAUGUGAGGUGUUUCAAAUGUCAAGGAAUGGGACAUUACUCUCGAGAUUGUCCAAACAAGAAGGUAUUCUUGUUACAAGAGGGAGGAGAGAUAGUUCCUCAAGAGGAUUCCGAGGCCGAAUAUGAAACAGAGGAAGAGGAAGAAGCUGCUGCCGUGGGCGAGAUGCUGGUUGCCAGAAGGACUUUGAGUGUUCAGAGUCAACCUGAAGAGACUUGUCAGCGAGAGAACCUGUUCCAUACGAGAUGCUUCAUUCAAGGAAAAGUUUGUAGCCUGAUCAUAGAUGGAGGAAGUUGUACUAAUGCUGCAAGCGAAGAGAUGGUUAAGAAGCUCCAGCUCAAGACUAUUCCUCAUCCAAGGCCGUAUAAGCUUCAGUGGUUGAAUGAUAGUGGAGCCUUGACCGUAUCUCAGCAAGUGAGGGUUUCUCUAUCCAUUGGGAAGUAUGAAGAUGAGAUUCUAUGUGACGUCAUUCCCAUGGGUUCGAGUCAUGUGUUGCUAGGCAGACCGUGGCAAUCAGAUCGUAGGGUGAUACACGACGGUUACACCAACAAGCACUCAUUCGAGUUCAAAGGUCGCAAAAUUACCCUCCUACCUCUCACGCCUACCGAGAUUUAUCAAGAUCAAGUUCAAAUGAAGCUCAAGGAAAAGGAGAAAGUCGCCAACAGCCUCUACAUAAACCACAGUGAAUUUUCUAAACUCUUUGAUCCUGAAAUGACUACUUUUAUGUUUGUGUACAAGGAAUCCCUUGUUAGUACUAACCCUUCACAGGAGCUUCCUAGUGCUAUGUUUGAGAUUUUGCAGGAAUACAAGGACGUUUUUCCAGUAGAAAUUCCACCAGGGCUACCUCCAAUUCGCGGGAUAGAGCAUCAGAUUGACUUGGUACCAGGAUCAGCCUUACCUAACAGGCCAGCAUACCGAACCAAUCCUGUAGAGACUAAGGAGCUGCAGAAGCAAGUGGAAGAGCUGAUGAGCAAGGGACAUAUCCGAGAAAGCUUGAGUCCAUGCGCGGUUCCAGUUCUGUUGGUGCCAAAGAAAGAUGGUUCCUGGAGGAUGUGUGUAGACUGCCGAGCUAUCAACAACAUCACUGUGAAGUAUAGGCAUCCGAUUCCAAGACUAGAUGAUAUGCUGGAUGAGCUCUGUGGAUCGACAAUCUUCUCUAAGAUAGACUUGAAGAGUGGGUAUCAUCAGAUCAGAAUGAAGGAAGGGAACGAAUGGAAGACGGCGUUCAAGACAAAGCAAGGACUCUACGAGUGGCUAGUUAUGCCAUUUGGUCUCACCAAUGCUCCCAGCACCUUCAUGAGAUUAAUGAACCAUGCCCUGAGACCAUUCAUUGGCGUGUUCGUAGUGGUUUAUUUCGACGAUAUCCUCAUCUACAGUAAAGGUUUGGAAGAACAUCUAGAUCACAUCAGAUCGGUUCUUGAUGUUCUUCGCUCUCAAUCUCUCUUUGCUAAUUUAUCUAAAUGUUCAUUCUGCACUAACGAAAUUGUUUUCUUAGGCUUUGUAGUAAGUGCAGGAGGAGUUAAAGUAGAUGAAGAGAAGAUAAAAGCUAUCAAGGAGUGGCCAACCCCCAAGAACAUUGGAGAAGUCCGAAGUUUCCAUGGCUUAGCAGGAUUCUACAGGCGUUUUGUUCGUGAUUUCAGCACCAUAGCCGCGCCCUUAACAGAAGUGAUCAAGAAAGACGUGGGGUUCAAGUGGGGAGAGGCGCAAGAACAGGCUUUUACAGCCCUUAAAGAGAAGCUUAUCAAUUCGCCCUUACUAGUACUUCCUGAUUUUACUAAGACUUUUGAGAUUGAAUGCGAUGCUUCUGGUGUAGGUAUUGGAGCAGUUCUUAUGCAGGAUAAGAAGCCCGUCGCUUACUUCAGCGAAAAGUUAGGAGGAUCAACGCUGAAUUAUCCCACGUAUGACAAGGAGUUAUACGCAUUGGUUCGAGCUCUCCAGACGUGGCAGCAUUACUUAUGGCCUAAGGAAUUCGUCAUUCAUACCGAUCACGAGUCUCUAAAGCACCUCAAGGGUCAGCAGAAACUUAACAAAAGACAUGGGCGAUGGAUGGAGUUCAUUGAGACAUUCCCCUACAUUGUUAAGUACAAAAAAGGUAAAGAUAAUGUGGUCGCAGACGCAUUAUCCCGGAGGUACACUCUUAUUUCGACUUUAACAUCAAAGUUGAUUGGAUUUGAGCAUAUUAUAGAUCUUUAUGAAUCUGACACUGACUUUUCUGAGAGCUAUGCCAAAUGUCAUAAGUUUGCCUAUGAGAAAUUUUAUAGACAGGAUGGAUACUUGUUCUUCAGUAACCGAUUGUGCAUACCACGAGGAUCCAUUCGAGAGUUACUGGUACGAGAAGCUCAUGGAGGUGGAUUAGCUGGACAUUUCGGCGUCACAAAGACACUUCUUGGGCUACAAGAGCACUUCUACUAGCCGAACAUGAAGAAGGACGUUGAGAAAAUCUGCUCUAGAUGUGUCGUAUGUAAGAUGGCUAAGAGUAAAGUUCAACCUCACGGUUUGUAUACUCCUUUGCCUAUUCCUUCUCAACCUUGGACUAAUAUCUCUAUGGAUUUUGUAGUUGGCUUACCUCGCACCAGAAAUGGUAGAGAUUCUAUUUUUGUAGUUGUUGACAGGUUUAGCAAGAUGGCUCACUUCAUCGCUAGCCACAAGACAGAUGAUGCUGUGAAUGUAGCUAACUUGUUUUUCAGGGAAGUAGUACGACUGCAUGGAAUGCCACAGGUUAUCGUUUCAGAUCGAGACACGAAGUUCUUAGGACACUUUUGGCGAACGCUUUGGGCUAAGCUGGGAAAAAAGCUCUCAUUCUCAACUACGUGUCAUCCUCAGACCGAUGGACAGACCGAGGUGGUGAAUAGAACGUUGUCCACACUUCUAAGGACUUUGGUGAAAAGUAACCUCAAGACAUGGGAAGAGUGCCUGCCUCAUGUCGAGUUUGCUUACAAUCACGCUAAGCAUUCUGCUACUCUCUUUUCUCCUUUUGAAAUUGUAUAUGGGUUUAAUCCACAAUCACCUCUAGACUUGAUCCCUUUGCCUUUAAGUGGAAAAUGCAGUUUGAAUGGCAAGGAGAAAGCUGAACAGGUCAGAAGAAUUCAUGCUAAGGCUAAGGAGAAUAUCGAGAAAAAGACAAAGCAGUAUGAGAAGCAUGCCAACAAAGGACGAAAGGAGCUGAUUUUUGAAGAAGGCGAUCUGGUGUGGAUCCAUCUGAGGAAGGAGCGAUUUCCAGCUGAACGAAAGAACAAGCUAAUGCCCAGAGUGGAUGGACCAUUCGCAGUCAUCAAAAGAAUCAACAACAACGCCUAUCAGAUUGAUCUUCAAGGUAAGUAUGACGUUUCUGAUGCUUUCAAUGUUUCUGACUUGCUUCCUUAUGUUGCAGAUUCAGAUUUGAGGACAAAUCCUUUUCAAGAGGGAGAGGAUGAUAUGAUCGUGACCAGCUCAGAGGAGGAGGAACCAGAGGUAGCUGGCAGGAUCACUCGUUCCAGAGCUAGAGAGAUGGCUAAGGAGGCUCACGCACUCAUUGCCACAGAGGACAGCGAUCACCAGGAGGCUGGAGCUCACAUCUUCAACAUCUCUAUCUUGAAGAAUGAGGAACCCAGUAACAAUGACUAGGUAACUUAGGUGAUGAUUCUGUACUCUUUUCCUUGGUGAAGAUUUUGGAAGGCAAGGAGGUUCUUCUCCAAGGUUUUUAACGAGGCAGAAAUCAUUGCUACGUCGAGUUACUUAGAAGUUGUUACUAAUGGGUAAUAAUGUGCAAAGUCACAAUGACUUGUGCACUUAGUAUUUUGGCGCACCACUUAGG
rnacentral:lncRNA from 1 species